CUACGGGAGGCAGCAGUGAGGAAUAUUGCACAAUGGGGGGAACCCUGAUGCAGCAACGCCGCGUGGAGGAUGACGCAUUUCGGUGUGUAAACUCCUUUUAUAUGUCAAGAAAAUGACGGUAGCAUAUGAAUAAGCACCGGCUAACUCCGUGCCAGCAGCCGGCGGUAAUACGGAGGGUGCAAGCGUUACUCGGAAUCACUGGGCGUAAAGGACGCGUAGGCGGGUUGGAAAGUCAGGUGUGAAAUCCUACAGCUUAACUGUAGAACUGCACUUGAAACUUCUAAUCUAGAGUAUGGGAGGGGGAGAUGGAAUUAGUGGUGUAGGGGUAAAAUCCGUAGAUAUCACUAGGAAUACCUAAAGCGAAGGCGAUCUCCUGGAACAUUACUGACGCUAAGGCGUGAAAGCGUGGGGAGCAAACAGGAUUAGAUACCCUUGUAGUC
rnacentral:rRNA from 1 species